GCAGAAUUCCAGGUCUUGGCAUCUGUGUUUCAAGCAGGAGGGAGAAGGAAAAGGGUUAGGGUUGGUGGGUAGGCUCAGUGCGUAGGUAGGAUGCUUGCCUCAGACACACAAGGCCCCCAACACAACCCAAGCUGGCAGUGGUGAGAUAUAAAUGCCACUUGGUGUCAUGGUUAGUUUUUGUCAACUUGACACAAACCUAGACACACCAGGGAAGAAGAACUCUCAACUGAGGAAGAACCUUCAUUGGAUUGGCCAUUGGUAUCCCUACUCUAUUCUGCCAGGUAGUGGAAAUGUAAUCUCAGUCAUCAAAACAAUACAAAGCCAACCGACCGACCGACCACCAACCAACCAAUCAACCAACCAACCAAUCAACCAAUUGAAAAACAGCAGUGCUAUGUAAAGUGCAUGUAGGUGCCUUUGAAGGCCAGAAGAAGACGUCGGAUUCUGAGGAGCUGGAGUUACAGAUGGAUGUUAGCUGCCUCACAGAGAUGCUGGGAACCGAACUCAGGUGCUUUGUAACUUGCAUUUUGAAGAAAUCUAACUGCAGCUGGGUUCAGCAGCCUUCGCUUUGGAGCUAUAAAACUACAAACGAUUUCCAACUACAAAUGACCAGUUUACUUCGAUGCUGCUGGAAUCCCCUCUCUAGUAAACGGUGGAGAGUCAGCAGUGCACAGGCUCCGCCUUGGCAGAGAGCCCUUGAUACUGCGAGCCUGUCCCAAGGUGUUAUUUAUUCUGUCGUUCCUCUGCUGACUUGAGCUGUGCUCUGGGCUGCCUUGCUGUGGUGACCACAUUCAGGGCUCUAACCCUGUUUUCCCAGCUUUUACAGUAGAAAAAAAAUUAUUCUACACUCCAUUUAUUUCCAAGUAGAAAAGAAUCAGGGAGCCCUGCAGGGUGAAGGCAGAGGCGAGGUGUUCCAGAUAAGUGUCUCCCCCUCCGUAUUACUUAUUUAUUAAAGCCGCCGAGGCAUAACUAAGAGAAAGGAAAGGAACCAAGGAAAUAGAAAGUACAAUGGCCCCUCAGUUUUUAAUGGGAGAGAUGGCUGGAAGUGAUUCCUAAAUUAUUAAAUAAAUCGAUUUGAUUCUAG
rnacentral:lncRNA from 1 species